rnacentral:lncRNA from 1 species
UCGAAAUACAAGAUUUAUUUAAAUAAACAGUACCAAGCAGAUACGAGCACGCGAUCCAUUUUACAGUUACAGAAUCACCGAGACAUAGAAAAUACAUCAUUAAUCCUACACUACAUUAUUAUUAUUAUUUUUAUCUUCCACUACUUUGCUCCCCACUACUUUGCCCACCACUAUAUUUUGCCCACCACUAUACUUUGCCAAUCCUCUAUUAAUCAUCAUCUCCACCAUCCUGCAAUUAUCGAAGAGCAGCCCCUGCCUGUUUCUGCCAAAGUUCCCAGGGUAAGCUUUCUUUAAUGCUUCCACCUUCUUCCAUGGUUUCACCUGCAGUUAUUGAAGAAACAAAUCUGUAAAUUAUUUCAGUCAUUCACUCUCUGCCGAAAGUUCCAAGAGCUUUGGCACGUUGAUUCACUAGCUCAACCACAAUAGCCAACUACACAUUUUAAGGUAUUUACCUAGCCCCAUAUACUGUAUUCCAUCACACAUUUUCUGCAUCCAAGCAUGAUAGACAAACAAAACCAAUAUGUGAGAAUGAACAUAGCAGCAUGAAGAACCAGCAACAUAUAGCAUUUAACAGAUUUUGACCUUCACACCAUAGCUUUACCAUCUCACAACUGAUAAACCAUGUACAUUAAGAUACCUCAGAAAAUUCAUACGCAGUAGUUGUAAAGUGAGAGUAGGGAACUUAGCUUCUGAGAGGGAGGAGGACUGAACGGCUCCGAGGAGGAGGCGAGGCGACACCCUUCGCCGGAAAUCGCACAGCAGCAGCCGACCUGAACCAUGGUCGAGCAGGGGCUCGAGCGCACCAGCAGCGGACGCACGGCAACGGCGUUCUGCCCUUUUUGAAACCUAAGGCUCGACGUCGGAGAGGGA